GUACUUACCUGGCAGGGGAGACACCAUGAUCAUGAAGGUGGUUCUCCCAGGGCGAGGCACGGCUAUUGCACACUCUAGGCCGUGCUGAUCGUGGUUGUCUUCCCUGCCGCUUCUCGGCCCUCUGGCUUAGUUCACCUGCUCUCAUGGGGUCUCCCUUCGGGGGAGCCCCAC